GACGAACGCUGGCGGCGUGCUUAACACAUGCAAGUCGUACGGUAAGGCCCUUUCGGGGGUACACGAGUGGCGCACGGGUGAGUAACACGUGAGUAACCUGCCCACAACUUUGGGAUAACGCUAGGAAACUGGUGCUAAUACUGGAUAUGUGCUCCUGCUGCAUGGUGGGGGUUGGAAAGCUCCGGCGGUUGUGGAUGGACUCGCGGCCUAUCAGCUUGUUGGUGGGGUAGUGGCCUACCAAGGCGGCGACGGGUAGCCGGCCUGAGAGGGUGACCGGCCACAUUGGGACUGAGAUACGGCCCAGACUCCUACGGGAGGCAGCAGUGGGGAAUAUUGCACAAUGGGCGCAAUCCUGAUGCAGCAACGCCGCGUGCGGGAGGACGGCCUUCGGGUUGUAAACCGCUUUCAGCAGGGACGAAGCUUUUUGUGACGGUACCUGCAGAAGAAGCACCGGCUAACUACGUG
rnacentral:rRNA from 1 species